rnacentral:rRNA from 1 species
AGCGAACGCUGGCGGCAGGCUUAACACAUGCAAGUCGAGCGCCCCGCAAGGGGAGCGGCAGACGGGAGAGUAACACGUGGGAACGUACCCUUCAGUACGGAACAACCAAGGGAAACUUUGGCUAAUACCGUAUACGUCCGUAAGGAGAAAGAUUUAUCGCUGAAGGAUCGGCCCGCGUCUGAUUAGCUAGUUGGUGAGGUAAUGGCUCACCAAGGCGACGAUCAGUAGCUGGUCUGAGAGGAUGAUCAGCCUCACUGGGACUGAGACACGGCCCAGACUCCUACGGGAGGCAGCAGUGGGGAAUAUUGGACAAUGGGCGCAAGCCUGAUCCAGCCAUGCCGCGUGGAUGAUGAAGGCCUUAGGGUUGUAAAGUCCUUUUAACGGGGAAGAUAAUGACGGUACCCGUAGAAUAAGCCCCGGCUAACUUCGUGCCAGCAGCCGCCGUAAGAC